GAAAUGAUGUACUGCUCUUGUAAUCAUGGAAAAUACUUGUUGAAACUUCCACUUUGACUGCUGGAUGAAGAAGGCCCUUUGCGACAGAGCGUGGAACUUUCGCCAACCCACAAUCUGGAGGCUUUGAGGUCAUAAAUGAACGAAACAUCAUUUCCCGCAACCCAUGAAAUGAUGUACUGCUCUUGUAAUCAUUGAAUACUUGUUGAAACUUCCUCUUUGACUGCUGGAUGAAGAAGGCCCUUUGCGACAGAGUGUGGAACUUUCCCCAACCCACAAUCUGGAGGCUUUGAGGUCAUUAAUGAACGACACAUCAUUUCCCGCAACCCAUGAAAUGAUGUACUGCUCUUGUAAUCAUGGAAAAUACUUGUUGAAACUUCCUCUUUGACUGCUGGAUGAAGAGGGCCCUUUGCGACAGAGCGUGGAACUUUCGCCAACCCACAAUCUGGAGGCUUUGAGGUCAUUAAUGAACAACACAUUAUUUCCCGCAACCCAUGAAAUGAUGUACUGCUCUUGUAAUCAUGGAAAAUACUUGUUGAAACUUCCUCUUUGACUGCUGGAUGAAGAAGGCCCUUUGCAACAGAGCGUGGAACUUUCGCCAACCCACAAUCUGGAGGCUUUGAGGUCAUAAAUGAACGAAACAUCAUUUCCCGCAACCCAUGAAAUGAUGUACUGCUCUUGUAAUCAUUGAAUACUUGUUGAAACUUCCUCUUUGACUGCUGGAUGAAGAAGGCCCUUUGCGACAGAGUGUGGAACUUUCGCCAACCCACAAUCUGGAGGCUUUGAGGUCAUUAAUGAACGACACAUCAUUUCCCGCAACCCAUGAAAUGAUGUACUGCUCUUGUAAUCAUAGAAAAUACUUGUUGAAACUUCCUCUUUGACUGCUGGAUGAAGAAGGCCCUUUGCGACAGAGCGUGGAACUUUCGCCAACCCACAAUCUGGAGGCUUUGAGGUCAUUAAUGAACGACACAUCAUUUCCCGCAACCCAUGAAAUGAUGUACUGCUCUUGUAAUCAUUGAAUACUUGUUGAAACUUCCUCUUUGACUGCUGGAUGAAGAAGGCCCUUUGCGACAGAGUGUGGAACUUUCGCCAACCCACAAUCUGGAGGCUUUGAGGUCAUUA